rnacentral:rRNA from 1 species
AGCGAACGCUGGCGGCAGGCUUAACACAUGCAAGUCGAGCGGGCAUCCUUGUGGUGUCAGCGGCAGACGGGUGAGUAACGCGUGGGAACGUGCCCUUCGGUUCGGAAUAACUCAUGGAAACUUUAGCUAAUACCGGAUACGUUCGAGAGCAGAAAGGUUUAUCUGCCGAAGGAUCGGCCCGCGUCUGAUUAGCUAGUUGGUGAGGUUACGGCUCACCAAGGAGACGAUCAGUAGCUGGUCUGAGAGGAUGAUCAGCCACACUGGGACUGAGACACGGCCCAGAAUCCUACGGGAGGGAGCAGUGGGGAAUAUUGGACGAUGGGGGCAAACCUGAUAAAGCCAUGCGGCGGGAGUGAUGACGGCCUUAGGGUUGUAAAGCUCUUUUCUCCGGGACGAUAAUGACGGUAACGGAGGAAUAAGCCCCGGCUAACUUCGUG